UACGGAGGAUCCGAGCGUUAUCCGGAUUUAUUGGGUUUAAAGGGUGCGUAGGCGGCCUGUUAAGUCAGAGGUGAAAGGCGGUAGCUUAACUAUCGGAGUGCCUUUGAUACUGACGGGCUUGAAUACAGCUGAGGUAGGCGGAAUGUGACAAGUAGCGGUGAAAUGCAUAGAUAUGUCACAGAACACCGAUUGCGAAGGCAGCUUACUAAAGUGUAAUUGACGCUGAGGCACGAAAGCGUGGGGAU
rnacentral:rRNA from 1 species